GCCUCCAUGAAAAGCAAAUUGUGUCAACCACUCAGUACAUUCUUCAGUAUAUGCAAAGCGACGUAACACGUGAUCUUUUUUGACCAAUUACAUUUGAUAAUGGUUGCUUUACUUUUUUUGUGGACCUUUUAUUUCUUCCCGCGCCAUGUUUAAAAAGUUUUCCUGCUGACACAGUUUUUUUAUCAUGCUUCAUCCAUUGUCUUGUGGAUCCAUAGUGAAUGAGUGAAAACAAUCUGUGGGUGGGCUAUAAAGAUGGGGAUAAAGUUGCUUUCAUACACCACUAGUUCAAAGAAAAUAUCACAAUUUGAUAUUUUACGACAAAAUCACGAAGAUUUGUUGCAUCACAGUGAUUUUAACUUGUCGAAACACCUCUAUUCAUUUUGAUCGUAUUUGCAAAAGUUGUUUAUGAACUCAUCAAAGAUGUUGACAACCAUUUAGUAAAUUUAUAUGGCAUCGCCAUUGUAGAAUCUUUACACAAGAUCAAUUCUUUAUCAUUCAAGUUCAAGAAAAAAGCUGAAGGAAGAGGUCAAUACAAGAUUUAAUAUCAAGACAUUUGGACCAAAAAACUGAAAACAGUUAAACAAGUUGGAAAA